GACGUAGGGUGCGAGCGUUGUCCGGAUUUAUUGGGCGUAAAGAGCGUGUAGGCGGCCAUACAGGUCAGCUGUGAAAACUCGAGGCUCAACCUCGAGACGUCGGUUGAAACCGUUUGGCUAGAGUCCGGAAGAGGAGAGUGGAAUUCCCGGUGUAGCGGUGAAAUGCGCAGAUAUCAGGAAGAACACCCGUGGCUAAGGCGGCUCUCUAGUACGGUACUGACGCUGAGACGCGAAAGCGUGGGGAGCGAACAGG
rnacentral:rRNA from 1 species